GGCUCAGGACGAACGCUGGCGGCGUGCUUAACACAUGCAAGUCGAGCGGUAAGGCCCCUUCGGGGGUACACGAGCGGCGAACGGGUGAGUAACACGUGAGCAACCUACCCUCAACUUUGGGAUAAGCCUCGGAAACGGGGUCUAAUACCGGAUAAUACCGUGCUCCUCAUGGGGUGUGGUUGAAAGUUCUGGCGGUUGGGGAUGGGCUCGCGGCCUAUCAGCUUGUUGGUGGGGUAAUGGCCUACCAAGGCGUCGACGGGUAGCCGGCCUGAGAGGGCGACCGGCCACACUGGGACUGAGACACGGCCCAGACUCCUACGGGAGGCAGCAGUGGGGAAUAUUGCGCAAUGGACGAAAGUCUGACGCAGCAACGCCGCGUGAGGGAUGACGGCCUUCGGGUUGUAAACCUCUUUCAGCAGGGACGAAGCGAGAGUGACGGUACCUGCAGAAGAAGGACCGGCCAACUACGUGCCAGCAGCCGCGGUAAUACGUAGGGUCCGAGCGUUGUCCGGAAUUAUUGGGCGUAAAGGGCUCGUAGGCGGUUCGUCACGUCGGGAGUGAAAACUCGGGGCUUAACCCCGAGCCUGCUUCCGAUACGGGCAGACUAGAGGUAGGCAGGGGAGAGCGGAACUCCUGGUGUAGCGGUGGAAUGCGCAGAUAUCAGGAAGAACACCGGUGGCGAAGGCGGCUCUCUGGGCCUUACCUGACGCUGAGGAGCG
rnacentral:rRNA from 1 species